CACACACACACACACACACACACACACACACACACACACACACACACACACACACACACACACACACACACACACACACACACAGAAACUGUGAUCGGAUGUCACUUUGAUAAACAUUAGCUGCUACGGAACAGCUGCAUGAGACUUUCAGCAUUGCAUAGCUGUAGUGUUAAAUACUUUUUCCCUUAAACCAGACGUGUCCCAUCUCUGUUCUGCAUGGUCACUGUUUGUUUCCUCUCUCCACAGUAAAAACAAAACCAGGGCUUCUAAGGAACUGCUGCCGUCCAGUGGAAAGCGCGUCUUGCAAAAAGCAGAACGAAGCGACAGCGACUAGUUGCAAUCUGCCUUCUUUUAACCGCCAUGUUAUGUUCAGUGUUGCUUCCUGGCCAACAUCCCUCAGCAGGAGGCUGCACGAUCAUCGAGUUCAGAUGAACUGCGCGACCCCAGCCCCCUGUACCUCCCCGUCCCUCGUCCUGCCGGGGUCCGGCGCGACCCCAGCCCACGGAACCUCCCCGUCCCUCGUCCUGCCGGGGUCCGGCGCGACCCCAGCCCCCUGUACCUCCCCGUCCCGCAUCCUCCCGGGGUCAGGCGCUAACCCAGCCCCCUGUACCUCCCCGUCAGGCGUCUUGCCGGGGUCCGGCGCGACCCCAUUUUUUUUUGUUUUUUAUUUUUCCUUCUCCUUUCCUCCCCUUUACCUCCACCCGUGCCACAGGCCCACUGAUGAUGAACAUGAUGAUGAUGACGAACAUGAUGAUGAUGAUGAUGAUGAUGAUGAUGAUGAUGAUGAUGCAAGCAGACAGCUGCGUGCAAGGGCUGACCAUUUUAAACGAAAAAUAAAACAGACCAAACAGGCAAAAACA